GUGUACCAGAGGCGGGCCCCCAGCCUCAUCACCAAUCAAGUGGCCCGCCGGGGACGCGAGGGCGGGCUAACGUGGGGCGCCAAGGCUUAAACGUGACGGGCGGGCGGGCGUAGGGAGGAGUCCUGGGCAGGGAGCGGUGAGUGACGGAGGAUGCUGUCCAAUAGCAGGAGGGGUUGGGCUGCCUGAGCCAAUAGGAAGUCCGUAAGGCGGGACUGGGCCUGCAGCAAGUUCGGUUGCGCGGAGACCGCAGCUGUUCCCUGUCAGUGGAGGCAGCGGCCGUAGAGGCGGUGGCGACGACUUGCGGCGGCAGCGAGGAGAUAGUGCCUGCCUCCCAAGAGCCGACAAAACACUGAGGGUCUUGGGCCAGCAGUGGCUGUUUUCCACCCGAGAUGGCAUUUGCUUGGGAAAGCAGGCCGAGUGUAAAGGCAGAUGGCAUGAGUGGAAAUGCCCUGGACCUUUGACAGACUCCACCCUCCUCAGACUCCAUGGCCUGUCCUCUCUGCUCUCGGCCUCCCGUCUUGGCUGACAGAGUGAAUGUUGUCACUCUUACUGGCAUCCCUGUGGGAGAAGAGGGGCAGCUGGGUGACGGUCCCAAACCACCUCCCUUAUGGAACUGAGAAACUGGGGCCCAGAGGAAGCUAAUGAGCAAAAUCCAAGAUUCCGACCCCUUUCCUCUCCCUCCCAAACCCCCACCAGACUGUCAUCUUUAUUGUGUGUCUUCCUAAAUCCAUCCGUUGGAAAGGAAAGUUAGUCGCCAGGAAGGGCCUUCUCCCAGAUCAUCUAAUUUGUUAAAGCUUGCUUGGCUUCUCAGUCCCUGCAUCCUUCCUGAGUCCCCAGAGCUUUGCUUAGUUACCGUAACUAAGACUCUGCCAUUGAAGGUUCCUGCCCUCCCUGUCCUCCUCCUCUCUGUCUCCUUGGUGAUCUGGAGGAGGUGGAUGUGGCUUUUUUAAUGCCAGAAGGCAUAACUCCUGGUCAUCUCCACAUGCCACAUUGCUGCCAUUGCUCACCCUCAUCCUGAUUUGCCUGCAGGCCAGGGGCAGGCUGGGGCAGGCUGGGGUGUCCAGGGCUGCUUUAAGUACAUGUCCACCAGCUGUGUGUUGCAGGGGCCAGAUGCCAUGCCGCAGCUCCUCUCCUUAUUGACAUCCUGGCUGACGCCUGGGAAAAUUCCACGGUCUGGCCGUGCUGAGUCAUUGCUGAGUCAUGCUUUGUCUCUGAGGAUGUGAGCGUCACCUCCUGCAAUGCCUGUCACUGGUCAGCCCAGGAUCUGGCUGCAGUUACUAUAUACUGAGAUCCGUGUUGCUAAUCUUUUCGAUUUGCCCAUCACUGUAUGCUUCUCCGAGUGCUUUUUCUAACGUGCUGUUUUAUCAAUACAAAAUUUAUUAAUCUUAAAUCAUUCAUAAUAAGUAGAUUCUUUAUCCUGGAAAACAUUCCUCUCAUAAAUGAGGAAACUGAGGUUUGGAGAGACUAAGUGACUUGGUUAGUUUUGGGUGAUUGGUGAGUGGCAUGUUGGGGUGAGUUUUUUAUCCCUUACCCUGGAUUUCCGUGUAAUGCAAAGAUUUUUCAGAAGUAACUUUGGUUGAAAAAUUGAGUUUCAGUUUGUUUAAGUCACAGACUCAAAAAUCUCAUUCUUCCUUUAAGGGCCAGUCUUUUACAUCUAACUUUGAAGUGUAGCCUACAAAUCUUUCUGUUCUAUUUGUGAUUCUAGAAAAUGUUCACAAUCAUUUUAAGGGGCCUUUGGUUAACACUUGAUCCAUUUGCAAUCUUAACUCAUAUGAAGAUUUUAAAUUGAGUUUAUGAAUUAUAUUCAGUGUCCUUUAGUUACUGCAGUUUUCUGAUUAACAAAAUCUUCCAUAGUCCUGUAAAUCUAAUAAACUGACUCUUAAAUUUUCUUAUACAUUCCUAUACUGUCUUGUCUUAUUCUUUUUACACAGCUUGAUUGAGGUAUUUUUAACAUAAAAUUGCACAUUUGAAGUGUAUGAUUUAUAUUUUGACAUAUGCAUGCUCUUGUGAAAUCAUGAGCACAGUUAAGAUAGUGAUUGUCCAAAAGUGUCCCUUGGUUAUCCCUCCCAGUCACUCCUCUCUGCUUCCGCCAUCUCCAAGUAGUCACUAAUUGCUUUCUGUUGUUAUAAAUUAGUUGGCACUUUUUGGAA
rnacentral:lncRNA from 1 species